CGGUUUGUAGCUCAAUUGGAUGGAGCACCCGGUUACGACCCGGGAGGAUUAAGGUUCGAAUCCUUACAAACCGA
rnacentral:tRNA from 1 species